AACGUAGGACGCAAGCGUUAUCCGGAGUUACUGGGCGUAAAGCGCGGGCAGGCGGUUCUUUAAGUCUGAUGUGAAAUCUCCCGGCUCAACCGGGAGCAGCCAUUGGAAACUAGGGAACUGGAGGGCGAGAGAGGUAGGCGGAAUUCCGGGUGGAGUGGUGAAAUGCGUAGAGAUCCGGAGGAACACCAGAGGCGAAGGCGGCCUACUGGCUCGCACCUGACGCUGAGCCGCGAAAGCCAGGGGAGCGAACGGG
rnacentral:rRNA from 2 species